UCUUCCCUAGAGGUGUCGAAGGUGUCCCUACAGUGUUACAUGUGUGUCUGUCCAUAGGUGGCAGAGAGGAGACAGGCUAUGUCUAGGCUCAGUAUUGUGACCUUUGAUCAUCUAAAUGAUUAAUAGCCUAACAAU